UAUCCCGGUUCAAGCCUGUAGUCGUGGUCCUUAGGCAAAUCCGGGGACCUUAGAUGAGGGGUGAUAACGAGGAAGCUUGCUUCCGAAGUGAGUGAUACCCUGCUUCCAAGAAAAGCCACUAAGCUUCAGCUACACACGACCGUACCGCAAACCGACACUGGUGCGCGAGAUGAGUAUUCUAAGGCGCUUGAGAGAACUCUGGAGAAGGAACUCGGCAAAUUGACACCGUAACUUCGGAAGAAGGUGUGCCCCUAGUAGGUGAAGUCGUACAGACGGAGCCCAAUGGGGUCGCAGAGAAUAGGUGGCUGCGACUGUUUAUUAAAAACACAGCACUCUGCAAAGACGAAAGUCGACGUAUAGGGUGUGACGCCUGCCCGGUGCUGGAAGAUUAAAUGAUGGGGUGCAAGCUCUUGAUUGAAGUCCCAGUAAACGGCGGCCGUAACAAUAACGGUCCUAAGGUAGCGAAAUUCCUUGUCGGGUAAGUUCCGACCUGCACGAAUGGCGUAACGAUGGCCUCGCUGUCUCCUCCAGAGACUCAGCGAAGUUGAAAUGUUUGUGAUGAUGCAAUCUCCCCGCGGAAAGACGGAAAGACCCCAUGAACCUUUACUGUAGCUUUACAUUGGACUUUGAACAGAUCUGUGUAGGAUAGGUGGGAGGCUUUGAAGCCUGGUCGCUAGAUCAGGUGGAGCCAACGUUGAAAUACCACCCUGGUGUGUUUGAGGUUCUAACCUUGGCCCGUGAUCCGGGUUGGGGACAGUGUAUGGUGGGCAGUUUGACUGGGGCGGUCUCCUCCCAAAGCGUAACGGAGGAGUUCGAAGGUACGCUAGGCACGGUCGGAAAUCGUGCUGAUAGUGCAUUGGCAUAAGCGUGCUUGACUGCGAGACUGACAAGUCGAGCAGGUACGAAAGUAGGACAAAGUGAUCCGGUGGUUCUGUAUGGAAGGGCCAUCGCUCAACGGAUAAAAGGUACUCUGGGGAUAACAGGCUGAUACCGCCCAAGAGUUCAUAUCGACGGCGGUGUUUGGCACCUCGAUGUCGGCUCAUCUCAUCCUGGGGCUGUAGCCGGUCCCAAGGGUAUGGCUGUUCGCCAUUUAAAGAGGUACGUGAGCUGGGUUUAAAACGUCGUGAGACAGUUUGGUCCCUAUCUUCCGUGGGCGCUGCAAGAUUGAGAGAGCCUGCUCCUAGUACGAGAGGACCGGAGUGGACGCACCUCUGGUGUAUCGGUUGUCACGCCAGUGGCAUCGCCGAGUAGCUAAGUGCGGAAGAGAUAACCGCUGAAAGCAUCUAAGCGGGAAACUCGUCUCAAGAUGAGUCUUGCCGGGGCCUCGAGCCCCCUGAAGAGUCGUUCGAGACCAGGACGUUGAUAGGUCGGGUGUGGAAGCGCAGUAAUGCGUUAAGCUAACCGAUACUAAUUGCUCGUGAGGCUUGACCUU
rnacentral:rRNA from 1 species